CUGAUCGAGUCAACUCGCCAAUCUGAGGGGGAAGUGUGGAUAAGCAGCCAAGCACCUUCUUUAUGGAAGUUAUGGGUUCUUUGGAACCCAUCACAGCUUUAACAGUCAAGACACUGCCUGUGUACAGUUGCUCUAUCAGCGUGUAAAUCGCCUUCACCAUCAGCACGCAGUCUUCUUGAAGGUUGGGGGCUCUCGAACGUGAGCAAGGAAUCAUGAUGAU
rnacentral:lncRNA from 1 species